GAUGAACGCUAGCUACAGGCUUAACACAUGCAAGUCGAGGGGAAACGGCAUCGAAAGCUUGCUUUUGAUGGGCGUCGACCGGCGCACGGGUGAGUAACGCGUAUCCAACCUGCCCAUCACUUGGGAAUAACCUUGCGAAAGUAGGACUAAUGCCCAAUGACAUCCCACGAAGGCAUCCGAAUGGGAUUAAAGAUUUAUCGGUGAUGGAUGGGGAUGCGUCUGAUUAGCUUGUUGGCGGGGUGACGGCCCACCAAGGCAACGAUCAGUAGGGGUUCUGAGAGGAAGGUCCCCCACAUUGGAACUGAGACACGGUCCAAACUCCUACGGGAGGCAGCAGUGAGGAAUAUUGGUCAAUGGGCGAGAGCCUGAACCAGCCAAGUAGCGUGCAGGAUGACGGCCCUAUGGGUUGUAAACUGCUUUUAUAAGGGAAUAAAGUGGGUCACGUGUGACUUUUUGCAUGUACCUUAUGAAUAAGGACCGGCUAAUUCCGUG
rnacentral:rRNA from 1 species